rnacentral:rRNA from 1 species
AUUGAACGCUGGCGGCAUGCCUUACACAUGCAAGUCGAACGGCAGCACGGGGCAACCUGGUGGCGAGUGGCGAACGGGUGAGUAAUGCAUCGGAACGUACCUUUCAGUGGGGGAUAACGUAGCGAAAGUUACGCUAAUACCGCAUAUUCUGUGAGCAGGAAAGCAGGGGAUCGCAAGACCUUGCGCUGAUUGAGCGGCCGAUGUCAGAUUAGCUAGUUGGUGAGGUAAAGGCUCACCAAGGCGACGAUCUGUAGCGGGUCUGAGAGGAUGAUCCGCCACACUGGAGCUUAGACACGGUCCAGACUCCUACGGGAGGCAGCAGUGGGGAAUUUUGGACAAUGGGGGCAACCCUGAUCCAGCCAUGCCGCGUGAGUGAAGAAGGCCUUCGGGUUGUAAAGCUCUUUCGGCCGGGAAGAAAUCGCACGGGCUAAUACCCUGUGUGGAUGACGGUACCGGAAUAAGAAGCACCGGCUAACUACGUGCCAGCCGCCGCAGUAACAC